rnacentral:rRNA from 1 species
CCUACGGGGCGCAGCAGUGGGGAAUAUUGGACAAUGGGCGAAAGCCUGAUCCAGCCAUGCCGCGUGUGUGAAGAAGGCCUUCGGGUUGUAAAGCACUUUCAGUGGGGAAGAAAGCCUUGGGGCUAAUACCCUCGAGGAAGGACAUCACCCACAGAAGAAGCACCGGCUAACUCCGUGCCAGCAGCCGCGGUAAUACGGAGGGUGCGAGCGUUAAUCGGAAUUACUGGGCGUAAAGCGCGCGUAGGCGGUCUGAUAAGCCGGUUGUGAAAGCCCCGGGCUCAACCUGGGAACGGCAUCCGGAACUGUCAGGCUAGAGUGCAGGAGAGGAAGGUAGAAUUCCCGGCGUAGCGGUGAAAUGCGUAGAGAUCGGGAGGAAUACCAGUGGCGAAGGCGGCCUUCUGGACUGACACUGACGCUGAGGUGCGAAAGCGUGGGUAGCAAACAGGAUUAGAUACCCCUGUAGUC